GACGAACGCUGGCGGCGUGCUUAACACAUGCAAGUCGAACGAUGAACCCGGAGCUUGCUCCGGUGGAUUAGUUGCGAACGGGUGAGUAACACGUGAGUAACCUGCCCUUGACUCUGGGAUAACUGCGGGAAACUGUAGCCAAUACCGCAUACGACCCUCGGCGCCCUCGCCUGCGGGUUGAACGAAUUUCGGUCAAGGAUGGACUCGCGGCCUAUCAGCUAGUUGGUGAGGUAACGGCUCACCAAGGCGACGACGGGUAGCCGGCCUGAGAGGGUGACCGGCCACACUGGGACUGAGACACGGCCCAGACUCCUACGGGAGGCAGCAGUGGGGAAUAUUGCACAAUGGGCGCAAGCCUGAUGCAGCAACGCCGCGUGAGGGAUGACGGCCUUCGGGUUGUAAACCUCUUUUAGUAGGGAAGAAGCGAAAGUGACGGUACCUGCAGAAAAAGCACCGGCUAACUACGUGCCAGCAGCCGCGGUAA
rnacentral:rRNA from 1 species